CAAAAAAAGUCUCUCAUCCAGUAUCAAAGCUUUAGCUGCACCUUAUGCUUCCCAAGGACGGCUUGGAAAGGGCACAGUGGAGCUGCUGCUGAUCCUCUUGCACCGGGCUCAGGGGGUAUCUGGAGAAACCCUGUGUUUCCAGAUAAGGACGUGCUGGAUUUACAGUUGUCUACCACUGUUAAUGCAUCCUCGUCUGCGUGGUCGUGUGAAGGUUGCUUUCCCGUUGACCAGAGGGAGACCCAUGGCUCAUCCGUGCACCCUUCUUAGAGCUGCUGAAGAGACUCAGAAUGGGGUGAUGGCCCCAUGCUCCUUCCUGGGGUCUCCUCUUCCUCAAGGUUAGUGUUACCAGCUGGGGCCUUGUUUUCCCAGGCAGCCUCUAGUGCCAGGUUCAUGCUGAUCUUGCUAAGCACUUUUACUCCUGAGGACAUCUGCGCAAUACAGCUGGUUCAGAAAGGUUUCCCCAAAGCGCAGUCAUUUAUUGUGAGCCAGCAUUUGCAGAGUAAUCCCAUACAAGUCAUUAGCUGGGUCGCUGGAGCUUGCCCUGGGGUCUGUCCAGGGAAUCCCAG
rnacentral:lncRNA from 1 species